rnacentral:lncRNA from 11 species
AAAAUUUGGUUAUGCGCUGUUCCAUCUAUGCACACAUGCGCAUCUCUAAAUAUAAUAAAUACAAACAUAUUUGCAUGUGCACAUAUACGAAUCAGCACAUAACAGAGGGAUUUUUUUUAAAAAAACUUCAGCCGGAUUUCUCCCUUCCCUAAUUAUUUAUUAAAGCUCUGUUUACAGUGUAAAAUAAGAGUUUCAGAAAGUUCGAAUGCCUCUCUGUUCUUGCUUCCUAUCAAUCAGCUGUACAUUUGUUUGACAGCCCAAUCAGCUGAUCAGCUGUUUUGGGCUUUUAAAAAGGGACGGACAUCAGUUAGAGCAGUCUCCACAGGAGGGAGGGAAAGAAAACACAUAUUUUCUGGCAUGCAGGGUCACACAGACAUACAAAGAUGCACACCUUUCAGCCAGAAAUGAGAUAAAAGGGGACCUUUUAUCCUGUGGUUUCGCUCCUUUGUAGCGAAUCAUCACGAGUGACAUCAUCUAGCCACCCUCCAUUUUGAAACGGGAGCUCUCGUGAUUAAGGUACUGUGUGGAUGGGGCCUGAGAAAUAUUAAUUCUGGAGAAAUUAAUUUUUUAAGGAAUCAAAAUAUGGCAUUUAAAGUUUUAGAAACAGUUUCAAAUGCAACAAGAGAAAUAAGGUUGAACAAACAUAGUUGAGAACACACACAUUUGCGCAGUGAUUAGAUUAUAUGUUUUUCUGAAAUUGUAAACUUAGUGAUAAAAGUGGAAUUCUGUGUUGAUUUUCUGAAGAUCUUGUCCCAUUUUCUCUCCAAGCAGUACUCUUCAGGUCUGAUCAUAACAUUGUUUUCUGACACAAUCAAUCUGGCAGCCUCAAGAUCAAUGAACAGAAUUGGUCCAUGGCCAGAGGUGGCAACUUUGCUUAUUCAAGAAAGAAGGAUCUUUGCUCCGUGUUCCUGUAUCUUGCUUCAAGUAUCAGCCUUGCUGUGAAUCCAGUGGAAUAUUCCAGUGACUUUGCUGUUUGGAGUUUAUUCCAGUCGAGACCUUUGCCUUGGGUUUCAUCUUUGACUUUAUACCUUGGAACUAUUCCUGCAUUUGAAUCUUGUUUUAUGUGCCUUGUUUGUGGAUCAUCAUUGACUCUACACCUGGAACCACAUUGGAAUUAAUCCUGCACUCCAGUCUUGGUUUUCUAUGAUUAUCCUUGAUUCAUGUCUUGGGAAAUAAUCCAGUUUCAGACUAUGCUCUUUAAGUGGUUUUUAUAGACUCUUGUCUCAUGAACUUUAAGUACCUUGCUCUUUUGGAUUUAAACCUAAUUUACUGACUCUGAACUAUAUUUUGCUUUUACUUGCUUAUAAUAAUCAAUAAACAACUUGCUUAUAUUCUGGGGCUUCAGUGUGGUUUUGAGGUGCCUACGCAGCCUAGGGGGUACAACAGUAAGCAUAUGAAGUGCUUAACUUAUUGGUUAAAACUCACAGUGGAAGCCAUAGCUAACAUUGCAUUAACUUAUUUUUUUUCCAUUUUACAAACUGAAAUAACAGAGUAGCAUGAUAGUACAAUUAUCAACUUGCCCAUCUUUCAGUCGGGAUUCAUGAUAUUAAAAUAAUUGCGCACCAUGCAUUUGCUCUUUCAACUUUUUCUUAUCCCUCACCUUAUUUUAACCAAACUACCAGAAAAUGUUUUAAAAGCCCCCAAACUGCUCUAGGUACUGGGAGAGGAGAUGUCUUCC